rnacentral:ncRNA from 1 species
CGAAAUGCAAUGAUAAAGGAUAAGUACGGGAGAUUGAUCCUUUUUAGAGAGGCUGUGGCCGCUGAAAACAGCUAAGGAUAUCUUACGGAAUUGGGCCUUUGGAGCUGCGAUAGACGUAAAUCGGCGUUAACGAUUCAAGCAGACUUCUGAUUAUUUCAGAAGUAAUGAGGGUGGCACCGCGGAUCAUUCGUCCCUUCC